rnacentral:rRNA from 1 species
UACGUAGGGUGCGAGCGUUAAUCGGAAUUACUGGGCGUAAAGCGUGCGCAGGCGGUUUUGUAAGUCUGAUGUGAAAUCCCCGGGCUCAACCUGGGAAUUGCAUUGGAGACUGCAAGGCUUGAAUCUGGCAGAGGGGGGUAGAAUUCCACGUGUAGCAGUGAAAUGCGUAGAGAUGUGGAGGAACACCGAUGGCGAAGGCAGCCCCCUGGGUCAAGAUUGACGCUCAUGCACGAAAGCGUGGGGAGCAAACAGG